GUGGGGAAUCUUGCGCAAUGGGCGAAAGCCUGACGCAGCCAUGCCGCGUGAAUGAUGAAGGUCUUAGGAUUGUAAAAUUCUUUCACCGGGGACGAUAAUGACGGUACCCGGAGAAGAAGCUCCGGCUAACUUCGUGCCAGCAGCCGCGGUAAUACGAAGGGGGCUAGCGUUGCUCGGAAUUACUGGGCGUAAAGGGCGCGUAGGCGGACAGCUUAGUCAGAGGUGAAAGCCCAGGGCUCAACCUUGGAAUUGCCUUUGAUACUGUCUGUCUUGAGUUUGGGAGAGGUGAGUGGAACUCCGAGUGUAGAGGUGAAAUUCGUAGAUAUUCGGAAGAACACCAGUGGCGAAGGCGACUCACUGGCCCAAUACUGACGCUGAGGCGCGAAAGCGUGGGGAGCAAACAGGAUUAGAUACCCGGGUAGUCC
rnacentral:rRNA from 1 species